rnacentral:rRNA from 1 species
GUGAGGAAUUUUCCGCAAUGGGCGAAAGCCUGACGGAGCAAUGCCGCGUGAAGGAUGAAGGCCUAUGGGUUGUAAACUUCUUUUCUCAGAAAAGAAUUAUGACGGUAUCUGAGGAAUAAGCAUCGGCUAACUCUGUGCCAGCAGCCGCGGUAAGACAGAGGAUGCAAGCGUUAUCCGGAAUGAUUGGGCGUAAAGCGUCUGUAGGUUGUUUAAAAAGUAUUCUGUCAAAGAUUAGGGCUUAACCCUAGAUAGGCAGAAUAAACUUUUAAGCUAGAGUUUGGUAGAGGCAGAGGGAAUUCCCGGUGGAGCGGUGAAAUGCGUAGAUAUCGGGAGGAACACCACAGGCGAAGGCACUCUGCUGGGCCAAUACUAACACUGAGAGACGAAAGCGAGGGGAGCAAAUGGGAUUAGAUACCCGAGUAGUCC